GCCAUGGCAACAGGACCACGUGACCGCCUGCCUCUCUUACUGGAAGGCUUCCCUCCCGGUCCCCGUCUUGCAGCGAUGACGGCUCUGCUGAAAAAAACCCGCAAGCGGUGGAAACCAAUUAGAAGCUAAUUUCGCAGUCUUAAAGAGCCCAGCCAAAAAGAGGUUUGGAAACUGUCUGGAAAGCUGUACUUCACAAGAGCUUCCCAUUAAAUUCUGACCUACAGCCCUGGUAUUCCCUCAGGGUCUCCCAUCUAUCAGGUCCAACUCUGCUUAGGUUCCUGCCCAGGAAAAAUCAAUCAAGUGCUUCCACUAUUAAAACCAUCUUUAAUACCUCCUGCCCCUAUCAUGUGGAAAAGGUGACCUGCUGAAAAUAUGGUACUUUACAUGCAGACAAACAAAAGUCAUAUUAAACAUGUGGUUGUACAUGAAAUAAAUGAGUCAUGACAAAACUCUUUCAACCUAUUUGUGAAG